GGACGACGAUCUCAGAAAGGCAUUGCAGCUGAGCCUCGAGUACGUGACGGCACCGCCGACACCCGACCAGGAAGACGUGCGCUGGCACCGGCUGAACUACCUAAACAGAAUGAACUCGAGGGGCUCGACUUCCGAAGGCUCCACAAAAUUGAAUACUUAACAAACGAAGACACGCAAUACGUGGCGAAAGGGUAUUCUUGAGGAUCGACACACCUUAGGCGCAACAACGACAAUGUCUGUAAACUAUAACUGUAUAAUAAGAAAUAUAAGACUUCUUUUCAUUUAUUAAUAUGUGUAAAUACCAUAACGUUACUGUUAAUUUAAACAAGUUAGCUAUAGUGGUAAAUAUAUAAAGUAUAGAUGUCAUCACAGUUUCACCAACGAAUAUAGACCUAGUAUAGAAGAACCAUCACGGGUUAUAAAGGGGGGACAGAAUCUUGGGUAACAGGCGGUUAGUUCUGUUACCCAUCCGUUUGGCGCCGCCACAUAUUAUUUUCCCGCGACUCAGCGCGCAUGCGCUAGCUCGUAUUUGAAGAUAUGUGUUUUUAUGUAUUUUUUACAAUAAAAAAUUAUAUAAACAA